AACGAACGCUGGCGGCAUGCCUAACACAUGCAAGUCGAACGAGAUCUUCGGGUCUAGUGGCGCACGGGUGCGUAACGCGUGGGAAUCUGCCCUUUGGUUCGGAAUAACAGUUGGAAACGACUGCUAAUACCGGAUGAUGACGAAAGUCCAAAGAUUUAUCGCCAGAGGAUGAACCCGCGUAGGAUUAGCUAGUUGGUGUGGUAAAGGCGCACCAAGGCGACGAUCCUUAGCUGGUCUGAGAGGAUGAUCAGCCACACUGGGACUGAGACACGGCCCAGACUCCUACGGGAGGCAGCAGUGGGGAAUAUUGGACAAUGGGCGAAAGCCUGAUCCAGCAAUGCCGCGUGAGUGAUGAAGGCCUUAGGGUUGUAAAGCUCUUUUACCCGGGAUGAUAAUGACAGUACCGGGAGAAUAAGCUCCGGCUAACUUCGUGCCAGCCGCCGCAGUAA
rnacentral:rRNA from 1 species